rnacentral:rRNA from 1 species
CCUACGUGAGGCAGCAGUGGGGAAUAUUGCACAAUGGGGGAAACCCUGAUGCAGCGACGCCGCGUGAGUGAAGAAGUAAUUCGUUAUGUAAAGCUCUAUCAGCAGGGAAGAAAAUGACGGUACCUGAGUAAGAAGCCCCGGCUAACUACGUGCCAGCAGCCGCGGUAAUACGUAGGGGGCAAGCGUUACCCGGAUUUACUGGGUGUAAAGGGAGCGUAGACGGCAGUGCAAGUCUGGAGUGAAAGGCGGGGGCUCAACCCCCGGACUGCUCUGGAAACUGUACGGCUGGAGUGCAGGAGAGGUAAGUGGAAUUCCUAGUGUAGCGGUGAAAUGCGUAGAUAUUAGGAGGAACACCAGUGGCGAAGGCGGCUUACUGGACUGUAACUGACGUUGAGGCUCGAAAGCGUGGGGAGCAAACAGGAUUAGAUACCCCGGUAGUC